CUACGGGUCGCAGCAGUGGGGAAUAUUGCACAAUGGAGGAAACUCUGAUGCAGCAACGCCGCGUGGAGGAUGACACUUUUCGGAGCGUAAACUCCUUUUAUAUAGGAAGAAGAUGACGGUACUAUAUGAAUAAGCGCCGGCUAACUCCGUGCCAGCAGCCGCGGUAAUACGGAGGGCGCAAGCGUUACUCGGAAUCACUGGGCGUAAAGAGCGUGUAGGCGGAUUAAAAAGUCAGAAGUGAAAUCCUAUAGCUUAACUAUAGAACUGCUUCUGAAACUCUUAAUCUAGAAUGUGGGAGAGGUAGAUGGAAUUUCUGGUGUAGGGGUAAAAUCCGUAGAGAUCAGAAGGAAUACCGAUUGCGAAGGCGAUCUACUAGAACAUUAUUGACGCUGAGACGCGAAAGCGUGGGGAGCAAACAGGAUUAGAUACCCUUGUAGUC
rnacentral:rRNA from 1 species